AUUGAACGCUGGCGGCAGGCCUAACACAUGCGAGUCGAGCGGUAGCACAGAGAGCUUGCUCUCGGGUGACGAGCGGCGGACGGGUGAGUAAUGUCUGGGAAACUGCCUGAUGGAGGGGGAUAACUACUGGAAACGGUAGCUAAUACCGCAUAAUGUCGCAAGACCAAAGUGGGGGACCUUCGGGCCUCAUGCCAUCAGAUGUGCCCAGAUGGGAUUAGCUAGUAGGUGGGUAACGGCUCACCUAGGCGACGAUCCCUAGCUGGUCUGAGAGGAUGACCAGCCACACUGGAACUGAGACACGGUCCAGACUCCUACGGGAGGCAGCAGUGGGGAAUAUUGCACAAUGGGCGCAAGCCUGAUGCAGCCAUGCCGCGUGUGUGAAGAAGGCCUUCGGGUUGUAAAGCACUUUCAGCGGGGAGGAAGGCGUUAAGGUUAAUAACCUUGUCGAUUGACGUUACCCGCAGAAGAAGCACCGGCUAACUCCGUGCCAGCAGCCGCCGCAG
rnacentral:rRNA from 1 species